UACGUAGGGGGCAAGCGUUGUCCGGAAUCAUUGGGCGUAAAGCGCGCGUAGGCGGCCCGGUAAGUCCGUUGUGAAAGUCAAAGGCUCAACCUUUGAACGCCGAUGGAUACUGCCGGGCUAGAGUCCGGAAGAGGCGAGUGGAAUUCCUGGUGUAGCGGUGAAAUGCGCAGAUAUCAGGAAGAACACCGAUGGCGAAGGCAGCUC
rnacentral:rRNA from 1 species